CUUAAUUGUCUGGCAAGGAGUUCCAGUACUAUGUUGAGUAAAAGUGGUGAGAGUCUGCUUCCUUAUCUUGUUCCCGAUCUUCGAGGAAAAUCUUUUAGCUUUUCAUUGUUGAGUAUGAUGUUAAUUGUGGGCUUGUUGUAUAUGGCCUUUAUUAUGUUGAGGUAUAUUCCCUAUAUUCUCAGUUUUUUGAGAGUUUUUAUCCUUUUUCUUUAAAAA